AGUCUCUUCCGAUGUGUAUUAGAUAUCGGUUCGAGAAUAAAUAACUUUAGCAAAAUCACGUGACAACAUGUCGUUUGGUCUUCGCCGAUUUCUGGGAAGUAGUUUGAGGCAUAUAAAAUUGCCUCUGUAUCAAGGAGUUUGUUUUCAGUCAACAGGU